AUCACAUUGGAACCACGAUUCUCGUAUGAUCACAGAAGUUAAGCAACAUCGAACCUGGUCAGUACUUAUAUGGAUGAUUGCUUGGGAAUACUAGGUGCUGUAAU